UUAGGUCGGUGGAGAUCUCCCGAGAGAAAGAGUCCUGAUUGGGCUCCAAGUUAGGGCGGGCGCCCUGCCUCUGGCCCCGUUCGGCCUCCGCUUCCUUCCCGUGGCUUCUGGAGUCUUCUAGAUGUAAGAUAAUUGAACGGCACGUUAAUAUCUCUAUGUAAUCCCGACGUGUGGGCCUUUCUUCCGUAUUUCCUGAUAACCCCCUGCAGAAAUAGACAAACACCAAAACUCAUGGAAUUUUGUCAGAUAAAACACUAAUUCUAGAUGUUGAUUUCAUUUUGAUCCUUUUCUUUGUUUAUUUGAUAAUUAAAUUUGAUACUUAAGGACCG
rnacentral:lncRNA from 1 species